GGCAUCACUGUGCUUUUGGAAAUAGACUAGGGCUUACUGUUUCAUUGCAUGAGGAGCAACUCGGAAGCAUCCAACAGCAAACCAAAGGGUGGAUCACAGUCUCCCAUCGAACAAGCCCUACAGGAGCUCAGAAGGCACCAGCCAAGUUGUGCUUUUGGCUCACCAGCACAUGAUUGAAGGGAAGAACAAGCAACCAUGGCCCCAGAGCAGAGGUCUGCUCCCAUCUCCCACUCUGGUUGGCUUCCACAAACAUUUUUUCUUGCCUAGGAUGGUGCAUCUCAAGUUUUAUCCACUUCCUCAUGCAAAGUAAAUUCUAACUGAAAUCUGUACGGAAAGUUAACUCCCCACCAAGAUUUUAGAUGGCUGCUAUGUUAAACAACAAUACUGCCUGCCAGGAAAGGAUGUCUCCUAUAAUCUGCUGGGUAAGGAUUGUGAGAGUUGUAUUUCUUUGAGCAGCUCAAAAGAUGGACUUUUAAAUUCAAUUUUUUUCGUUUACGAGUUUAUUUACAUACCUUCUUAGAAUUGCCAGAAAACUUAUUGUUGUGAAUUGUCAUGGGGGAUUUCACUAAAAAACCCAAACAAAUGAGUUUGUUUAAAACAAUCUGUGAUACCAAACCAAAAGCUCUGCAGUUUU
rnacentral:lncRNA from 13 species